rnacentral:tRNA from 1 species
GGGCCUAUAGCUCAGCUGGUUAGAGCGCACGCCUGAUAAGCGUGAGGUCGGUGGUUCGAGUCCACUUAGGCCACCA